GUGCUUGCUUCAACAGCACAUAUACUAAAAUUGGAACAAUACAGAGAAGCUUAGCAUGGUCCCUGUGCAGGGAUGAUAUGCAAAUUCAUGAAGGGGUCUAUAUAAAA
ensembl:snRNA U6 U6 spliceosomal RNA